GGGGGUAUAGCUCAGUGGUAGAGCAUUCGACUACAGAUCGACAGGUCUCUGGCUCAAACCGGGGCGCCCUCU